GAUGAACGCUGGCGGUGUGCCUAAUACAUGCAAGUCGAGCGAACAGACGAGGAGCUUACUCCUCUGACGUUAGCGGCGGACGGGUGAGUAACACGUGGAUAACCUACCUAUAAGACUGGGAUAACUUCGGGAAACCGGAGCUAAUACCGGAUAACAUGUUGAACCGCAUGGUUCAACAGUGAAAGACGGUCUUGCUGUCACUUAUAGAUGGAUCCGCGUCGCAUUAGCUAGUUGGUAAGGUAACGGCUUACCAAGGCAACGAUGCAUAGCCGACCUGAGAGGGUGAUCGGCCACACUGGAACUGAGACACGGUCCAGACUCCUACGGGAGGCAGCAGUAGGGAAUCUUCCGCAAUGGGCGAAAGCCUGACGGAGCAACGCCGCGUGAGUGAAGAAGGUCUUCGGAUCGUAAAACUCUGUUAUUAGGGAAGAACAAAUGUGUAAGUAACUAUGCACGUCUUGACGGUACCUAAUCAGAAAGCCACGGCUAACUACGUG
rnacentral:rRNA from 1 species